rnacentral:rRNA from 1 species
AGGAUCAUUACCGAAUUGUCAACAUGAGUUGUUGCUGGCCCUCAGACCCAGGGCAUGUGCACACUCUGUUCACACAUCCACUCACACCUGUGCACCCCCUCGUAGUUCUGUGGCCUGGGGACCCUGUCUCCCAGCUGUGGUUCUAUGUAUUUACACACACAACGUGACGAAGUUUCAUGGAAUGUAUGUGCCGCAUUUAAUGCAACACAAUACAACUUUCAGCAACGGAUCUCUUGGCUCUCGCAUCGAUGAGGAACGCAGCGAAAUGCGAUAAGUAAUGUGAAUUGCAGAAUUCAGUGAAUCAUCGAAUCUUUGAACGCACAUUGCGCCCCUUGGUAUUCCAUGGGGCAUGCCUGUUCGAGCGUCAUCUACACCCUCAAGCUCUGCUUGGUGUUGGGCGUCUGUCCCGCCUCUGCGCGUGGACUCGCCCCAAAUUCAUUGGCAGCGGUCUUGCCUCCUCUCGCGCAGCACAAUUGCGUUUCUUGAGGUGGGUGGCCCGCGUCCACGAAGCAACAUAACCGUCUUUGAUCUCGGAUCAGGUAGGGAUACCCGCUGAACUUAA